UUAACUUCCCAUUGCCAGUGCCAG
rnacentral:piRNA from 1 species